rnacentral:tRNA from 1 species
UGAGGUUAUAGCUCAGUUGGUAGAGUGCUUGCCUUGCAUGCAAAGGCCCUGGGUUUGAUCGCCAGCAUCACAA